CGGGCGGGGGGCGGGCGCCCGGGCCGCCCUGCGGGGCGCCCCUGCUCCGCCCCGGGCUGGCUCGCUCGGACGCGCCGCCCAGGGCCACCGGGGGCCACCGGGGCUCUCCUGCGGAGCUCUGGGCGGCCCUCAGCCCCCUCGCGCAUGCACGCAGGCAUUCGUUCCCUAACCAUUUAUUGGGUACCUACUGUGUGCCGAGCCCUCAGUGAUUUUCUGCCUAGGAAUGUCAAACACGGCGUUCAACAAAUCUUUGAAAUGAGGAAGAGUCUUGCCCAGCUGAGGUCCUGCUGACUUCAAGUCCAGUGUUCAUCUCGUUCCACUAGGAAUUUCAGCUCUGGAGCUGUAUAGCCCUGUCUUCUCUGCCGCGUCCCAGCUCCGGUACAGCAGCACGUGGCUCACGCCUCCGAAGUACGUACACUAAGAACCCCGUGUGAGUGAUACACUAAGAGGAUGGAAAAUUUUACCAAGAGGUAAUCAUGGCCUUGGCCUACCUACUGAAAAAGUCUGCAUGGUAUUUGAUGGUAACAAAUCUAUCUGAUUGGAUGGCAUCUCCUGGGAAGUGAGAACAUAAGAAGGAGGCACCAAGAGGCAUUCAUUCGUUCACCAAAUAUUGAUUAACACCAGCUAAAUGCCCUGCUCUGUUCUGGGUUCUGGGGAUAGAGUGAAGUCUUUUGAUUUUAUGGAGCUUAUACGUGAAGAGACAAAAAAAUGGAGUCACUUUAAGAUGACCUCUGAUCUGAAAAACAAGGACUGUGGUAGAUUGUGUAGAUUGCAUUGGCUUCAAUUCUUCCCUCCUCUCUGCAUCCAUGCUCUUUGCCAUGUAGCCUUGAAGUUCCUUACAUUAGAAGUAGAUGGACUUCUCCCUGCUGGACUUUGGGCUUGGCCAUGUGACUUGCUUUAGCCAAUGGGAUGUUAGCAGAUGUUAUGCAAUUAGAGGCUUGAAAUAUG